GUGGCGUAAGUGUCAGCUGAGAUCUCCUUUCGUUGGUAAUGUGUGUCAGACAUGUCUGAUGUACCUUUGGUAAUAGCCGGCCUCGGUUUGUAGCGUCAUCGACCGAUGUCUGUCUAAGAAUGUCGGUCGAUUUGUUGUUGCGUCUGUCGAUCGAUGCUUCUGGUCGACGUGCGAUGUAACUCUGAAUCUCCACUAAUUCCCCUUGUAUAGCUUCUAUCUUGGAAGUCAAAACACUAAUGCUAAGAUCCAUUGGGAAAUAAAUGUCAUCACAUCUCCUAUCAACCCUCUCUUCU
rnacentral:lncRNA from 1 species